rnacentral:tRNA from 1 species
AAGGUGCCGGGGCUUCUCCCGUUUUUUCCCCCCACAACGGGAAAAG